rnacentral:rRNA from 1 species
GGUGAUAUGAACCGUUAUAACCGGCGAUUUCCGAAUGGGGAAACCCAGUGUGUUUCGACACACUAUCAUUAACUGAAUCCAUAGGUUAAUGAGGCGAACCGGGGGAACUGAAACAUCUAAGUACCCCGAGGAAAAGAAAUCAACCGAGAUUCCCCCAGUAGCGGCGAGCGAACGGGGAGCAGCCCAGAGCCUGAAUCAGUAUGUGUGUUAGUGGAAGCGUCUGGAAAGGCGCGCGAUACAGGGUGACAGCCCCGUACACAAAAAUGCACAUGCUGUGAGCUCGAUGAGUAGGGCGGGACACGUGGUAUCCUGUCUGAAUAUGGGGGGACCAUCCUCCAAGGCUAAAUACUCCUGACUGACCGAUAGUGAACCAGUACCGUGAGGGAAAGGCGAAAAGAACCCCGGCGAGGGGAGUGAAAAAGAACCUGAAACCGUGUACGUACAAGCAGUGGGAGCACGCUUAGGCGUGUGACUGCGUACCUUUUGUAUAAUGGGUCAGCGACUUAUAUUCUGUAGCAAGGUUAACCGAAUAGGGGAGCCGAAGGGAAACCGAGUCUUAACUGGGCGUUAAGUUGCAGGGUAUAGACCCGAAACCCGGUGAUCUAGCCAUGGGCAGGUUGAAGGUUGGGUAACACUAACUGGAGGACCGAACCGACUAAUGUUGAAAAAUUAGCGGAUGACUUGUGGCUGGGGGUGAAAGGCCAAUCAAACCGGGAGAUAGCUGGUUCUCCCCGAAAGCUAUUUAGGUAGCGCCUCGUGAAUUCAUCUCCGGGGGUAGAGCACUGUUUCGGCAAGGGGGUCAUCCCGACUUACCAACCCGAUGCAAACUGCGAAUACCGGAGAAUGUUAUCACGGGAGACACACGGCGGGUGCUAACGUCCGUCGUGAAGAGGGAAACAACCCAGACCGCCAGCUAAGGUCCCAAAGUCAUGGUUAAGUGGGAAACGAUGUGGGAAGGCCCAGACAGCCAGGAUGUUGGCUUAGAAGCAGCCAUCAUUUAAAGAAAGCGUAAUAGCUCACUGGUCGAGUCGGC